UACGUAGGCAGCAAGCGUUGUUCGGAGUUACUGGGCGUAAAGCGCGCGUAGGCGGCUUUGCAAGUCGGGUGUGAAAGCCCUCAGCUCAACUGAGGAAGUGCGCCCGAAACUGCAGAGCUUGAGUGCCGGAGAGGGUGGCGGAAUUCCCCAAGUAGAGGUGAAAUUCGUAGAUAUGGGGAGGAACACCGGUGGCGAAGGCGGCCACCUGGACGGUAACUGACGCUGAGGCGCGAAAGCGUGGGGAGCGAACAGG
rnacentral:rRNA from 1 species